UACGUAGGGGGCAAGCGUUAUCCGGAUUUACUGGGUGUAAAGGGAGCGUAGACGGCCAUGCAAGUCUGAUGUGAAAACCCGGGGCUCAACCCCGGGACUGCAUUGGAAACUGUGCGGCUGGAGUGUCGGAGAGGCAAGUGGAAUUCCUAGUGUAGCGGUGAAAUGCGUAGAUAUUAGGAGGAACACCAGUGGCGAAGGCGGCUUGCUGGACGACGACUGACGUUGAGGCUCGAAAGCGUGGGGAGCAAACAGG
rnacentral:rRNA from 1 species